GUUCUAACGGCGAUAGUUUCCGCCAUUUGCAUAUCUUUUGCAGUUGGGCACAAUGUGAUUUCGAAUUCGGAACAUCAAAGACCGUUGAGAAAUUCGCAUUCCGUCUUCGUGGAUUUCAUGCUCAGCCGCAAAUUCUUGUGUAAAGCCGUGCCCUGGGAAAGGAACCGGAUUUUGGACAACUCCAAAGUUUGCGAUGGAACUGGGGAUUGCCCAUACGGAGAGGACGAGAUCUGCACGAAGUGUGAAGAACCACCGCAUGUGUCUUCAGGAUAUCCAACAGGAAGCCAGACUCAUUUUCCCGUGGGAGCGACUGUCGAGUAUGAGUGCAGACCCGGAUACAUCUUUAAGGACGUCAGCAGCGUAGUCUG